CCUGUUUCUAAUGAUCACUUUGUUAACUGUGCUCAAUACAGAAUAACUGCAUGUGCGCACUCCCUCUGAAACCGUUUUGGAAAAAUAUAUUUUCUAUUUUAUUCAGCUAUAUUCAAUUCAAUUGUAUUCCUCUUACUAUAAAAUAAUAUAAAAUAAUGCCAUAGGAAUUAUAAGCAAAUCUUGUCCGCUAAAUGAACUAGUGUAGCCUACAGUCAUAUUGCAUAGCCAGAUCAGGGCCUAACAUAAGGGCCUAAAUCAACAAUGGACUAAAGAAACAAAUACCAAAAGAUAGUUUUUGGGUGGAGUUGUCCUUUACUUCAUCUGUUCGUGCCACUGAGAUUUUGUUGGGUAUAGUUUUUACAGUCCAUCACCACCACUGACUGAAUGAUUAGCUAUGUAGACCCAUUAACAAUGUUGUUAUAUAAUCAUUUACUUCGCUUAUGUACACCAAUACUGACCUGCAAUUAAACAAAAAGUAUUUAGCUAGAUAAAAGCAAUAUUUGUUAUUCUAUAUUCUGCUAUUCUGUACAAUAAUAACUGAUAUUAUGAAAUGUUCUAACCUGAAACGCCACCUAGUGGUGACCAAACAUAAUGUUUACCAAUAAUUCACUGGUAAACAGGGAGUGUACGUUGAAAAUGCUACAACAGAGGAACCUGCGGGCUAAACAGAAGAAAGGACAGAAGAGUUCAAUUGAUGAUAUGUUAGGAGACCUGUUGGGAGAUGAUGGUAUGUGA
rnacentral:lncRNA from 1 species